CCUGAGCCGAAGUCGGACACUUAACCGACUGAGCCACGCAGGCGUCCUGAACUAGAAAUUUUUCUAAAAAGCAAACAUUGGUGGAGCUAUUGGACUCUUUCUGCUGCCAGGACCCCUUUGGCUGCUGAGGUGCAGACGUGAGAGCCAGGCAGACCCAGGAGCCCGGGAGGAGGCAGCCGCGGGCCUCUAUCCAGUUAAAAGAAAAUUCCAUCUCCACUUAGCCUGCACACACUGAAACGUCACCUCCUCCGGGAAGGCCAUCCUGACCUCUCUCUGCCCAAACCACACUCGCUCUGCUCUUUGCCGGCCCCUCCACCUGGCCGUCGAUCGGCAGUGGCACAGGAAUGUUGCCAACAACCGGGCCGGUGCGUUUGGGAGUGGACCCUCCCCCAGCUGAGCUUCCGGAUGAGAACACAGCUCUACAGACACCUCAGUUGUAGCAUUUUGACACCCUCAUGAGAGAACCCAACUAAGCCGUGCCCACACUCCAAUCCAUGGGAACAAUUGUGAGGUCCUAAAAACGUGCUGCUUGAAGCCGCUGAAUUUGUGAUCCUUUGUUAUGCAGCCAUAGAAAAAUAAUACCCUUAUUAUUAGAAAAGUGUAGGUCACACCAGCAGACAUUCAUUCGAUGGUAUUAUUGUUACCUUAAUUCCUUUACGUGUCGGUCCUGCAAGUGAGGGUUAUCACAGGGAAGUUCUGGGUCUUGCAGAAAUGCUGGUGCUUUGAGCAGCAAAAUCUGGAACCCCAGGGCUUCAUCUUGGGGUGUCCCAUUAUCAGCAGACCAGCUUUGGCCAGCUUUGAGAGGCACUGGGCGUCUUACCAUCUAAAUCUGAUCUCAGGACAACUAAGAGUGUU